rnacentral:lncRNA from 1 species
UUCACCGCCAAGAGAUCGUAUCACAGAUCCACCACUGCAGGAGCCCACCACGCAGCAGUUUUUUUUUUUUUUUUUGUUCUGAAAAAAAAGGGAAGGGGGGAGGAAGGGACAAGCCCACCCCUGCGUAGCAGCCCCGACCACUGGGCCCCCACCCCGCCAGAAGAAUAUUCGAUGCGGGUAGACCGAGUUGUGUGUUGGGCACCCCGACCUAUUUUACUCAUACCCUCCCCAUCCGUGGGCCGGCUCAGUUAUCCGACCCGACCCUCCGUGUGAGUACGUCACACCUGGCACCACCCAGGCUACCAGCCGACCAGUAGCGCUUCCAGACCCCGUGUCCAGGCGUGUCUUCAAGCGGAAGCCCUUUCACCAGCCCGUACAAAAAACCACUGGCAAAGAGAUCACCAGCUCCUGUGGCAUCAACAGCGCGUGCCUCCCCUAUAGCUGGAACUCGGACAACCUGAGACACACCAAAUGAUUUCUGAACGUCAAGCAUUCCAAACCCCCCACCGGCAGCAAAAAGGAAGAGAGAGAGAGAGAGAGAGAGAGAGAGAGAGAGAGAGAGAGAGAGAG